rnacentral:rRNA from 1 species
AUGAAAAUAAUUGGACACUUUCCCGAGCCAACUCCUAAACCAACUCCGAAGAAAAGGGGUGUUUUAUUUCUCAGUCCUAAAGAUAUGCAACAGGCAAAGAAAUCUAUGAAAGAGAAAGGUAUUAAAGUUGAAGAUGUUAAGAAUUUACCUCCUGUUGAAGAAACACAUGGCCUUAAUAUACCACCUAUCAAAGAAACACAUGGUCUUGAUAAUCUGACACAGGUAGUAAAGGUAAAUUCUCUCUAUAGAUAUGAUAAAGUUAAAAUCCCGUCUACUAAUUUUGCUAGCCAAUGGUUGGAUGAAUUUGAUGACUUUAUGGCUAGACAAGAAAACUUCAAUGCUUAUGUUGGUAGACAAUUAAAAAGUAAUGCUUCUAUGAUUGGACACUUGAGUGAUUAUAUGUCUAGAGUUAAGGGUGAACUUAAACUCAUUAGUAAAUAUGCUUCUAUGGUUACCACUCAAGCAGAGCAAGUACUUAAAGCUCAAAGUGAUUUGCUCGAUGAAUUAAAUAAUAAACAUGUUUUGCUGUUAGAGUGGCUACUAGAACGGGUAAAAUGA